UGGGGAAUUUUGGACAAUGGGGGAAACCCUGAUCCAGCCAUCCCGCGUGUGCGAUGAAGGCCUUCGGGCUGUAAAGCACUUUUGGCAGGAAAGAAACGUCGCGGGUUAAUACCCCGCGAAACUGACGGUACCUGCAGAAUAAGCACCGGCUAACUACGUGCCAGCAGCCGCGGUAAUACGUAGGGUGCAAGCGUUAAUCGGAAUUACUGGGCGUAAAGCGUGCGCAGGCGGUUCGGAAAGAAAGAUGUGAAAUCCCAGAGCUUAACUUUGGAACUGCAUUUUUAACUACCGGGCUAGAGUGUGUCAGAGGGAGGUGGAAUUCCGCGUGUAGCAGUGAAAUGCGUAGAUAUGCGGAGGAACACCGAUGGCGAAGGCAGCCUCCUGGGAUAACACUGACGCUCAUGCACGAAAGCGUGGGGAGCAAACAGGAUUAGAUACCCUGGUAGUCCACGCCCUAAACGAUGUCAACUAGCUGUUGGGGGCCUUCGGGCCUUGGUAGCGCAGCUAACGCGUGAAGUUGACCGCCUGGGGAGUACGGUCGCAAGAUUAAAACUCAAAUGAAUUGAC
rnacentral:rRNA from 1 species